UGGGUUCUAGAGACGUAGUGUAUAGAGAAUGAAUCCUUGGAUUUUUCUACCUCAAAUGCAUAUAUAAUAAAUUCUGAUUAACGGUUCCAAAGUUAUGCCCAAAAUAGACAAUUAAUAGUAAAACUAGUCACUAUUUGUUUGCAUCUCACAACCAGCAGCAAGGUGAAUGACUAUGAUGCAUCCAGUAUUCCAUAUGUGAUGAAAUAAG
rnacentral:lncRNA from 1 species